rnacentral:lncRNA from 1 species
UCGCCUUUUGCCUUGAUUUGUUGGAAUCUCAGUAACAUAUAGUUUAUUGGAUCAUGUAUUUCUUUGCAUUUAGGAUAAACAUUGGAAGUUAAAAAUGGUGAUGAUGUUAUCAUAGUAGUUUAAAAGAAUUAAUGAUUCAGGUAGCUGAUAAGAAUCCAUAAUCGAAACAAAUAGUCUUAAGAGUUUCAAGAGAUCCUUACUUCACCUUUGUCAUAGUUUCCAGGUUUUGGUUAGGUGUGAAAAGUUUGAAUCUUCUUUUUAUCAAGUAGUUGAGUGUGUUUUAUUUUGUGUUAUCUUGUUGAUUGAUUCCAGGCAGAGGAAGAGUAAGAGAACGAGGAAUCUUGAGGAUGAACCCAAACAUUGAUGAUGGGUAUUUACUACAAGAGUUGUUGUUAUAUACUGGUUUUUGAGAUAAUAUGCAAUUGUUAACCUUUUGCUUUUCAGUGGUUUUGUACACAUUGGCUGAUGCCAAAAGAUGUUUAACGACCAACUCAUUCCGACUUAUUUUUGGGAAAGAAAAAAAAAAUCAUACGUUUUUUUAGAAAUUCCAAUCAAUAAUACUUCCUGAUUGGUUUGCUCGACUCUACCAGGCUCCUUGUCCACAUAAUAAGAGUUAUUGAUAUGUUAAUAGCUUAAUAGCCAUCUUUAGCUCUAACAAUUUGAUCCAUGUUUUAGCUAACUAACAAGUUGUGUAUACUCUCACUCGUAAAGUCCAUCUCGUCUUCGGUGUUCAUCGUGGGCAACACUUUGUUUUCACUCAUAUUCAGUAUGUGUGGUCAUAAUUCACAAGUGUAGCAUAUACUUAAGGAACAAUGUACUUCUUCAGAGUUCCCUAUAAUCUAUAACCCAAUCAUCGUCCACAGAUACAAUCAUCUCCACCUGUUCACACAUCUUGAUGACGGUCAAUUAGAAGAGUUUUAACGGCUCAGAUUGGGUCUCUCCAGUUCUAACUUAACUGCCAUGCAAACGUCCCUCGUGGUGCCGUUGUCCAUUUAGUUUGAUGGUUCCUUCUGAGGAAACAUCGAGAGGUCGGGAUAAUACUACACGUUCUUAUCUUUUCUUUUUUGGAAUGAAUGUAAAAUUUAUUCAGUCAAAUACUUUCAAGUGCUUCUAAUUCUAAUAUUGUUUGAAACUCAUAAGAAAUCAGAAAACACCCAUUUCGAGCAUCAAACAUGACUCAUGUUCUUACUCCAAACCAUGUACAUAACCCAACUUCCAAUUUAUCAUCUCCCAUUUGUUGGAUAGAGAGAAGUCUAUUACUGACGUUUAUGUCUACCACUCGAAUCAUAUGUUCCGUUGCAAGGGAGAAAAAGCUCUGUAUUCGCAAAGACUUAUUUUUAGGACCUACCAACCAAUAGGAUUUUAUUAUUUCAAAUUCGAUAUCUUUCAAAAACAAAAACAAAAUAUUGUCAAAUUAUAUUAUGUUUUUAACAUUAAAAGGUAAGAAAAAAAAAUAAUAAUAGUAAUUAAAAAAUAUAUAUUUUUAACGUCGCCAGCAAAACACUAAAGCUUAAAACCUAAUCCCUAAACCCGAAAUCCUUGGAUAAACCCUAAACUCUUGGAUAAAUCCUAAACUCUAAAUCAAAAUCGCUAAACACUAAAACACUCAAGGGUUUAGAGUUUACGGUUUAGAGUUUAGGGUUUAGUGUUUUUUUUAUUUAAAGUUUAGGAUUUAUUCAAGGGUUUAGGGUUUACCCAAAGGUUUAGGGAUUAGGAUUUAGGGUUUAGUGUUUUGCUGGCGACGUUAAAAAUAUAUAUUUUUCAAAUUCUUUUUUCUGUAACUAUUAAUUUUUUUUUAAACAUAAUAUAACUUGAUAAUAUUUUGUUUCCCUUUUUAAAAGAUAUCUAAUUUAAAAUAAUUUAUUGGUUGGUGAACCCAAGAAUAACUCUUUGGCAAAUACAAUUUUCGGUAAUCAGCGAGUAGUGUCAUUGUGGAUUACUGAUACUGAUUGUAUAACUACAAAGAAAAAACAAUAGUUAGGGAGUGCAGAAUGCCAAGUUAAAAAGGUGAAUAAUAGUAAGUAACAUACUCCAUCCGUUCAAAAUAAUGUAUAUUCUAGAGUUUUCACAUUUAUUAAGAAACAUACGUAAAAUUUUGACAAUAAAUGCAUUGUUUUCCAUAUUUAGCUAUUUCAUAUGAUUUUUAAUCAAUUAAAGUUCAGUAAAUAUAAUUAACUAGCUUUUUUGCCCGCACAUGCGGGCAUAAUUCUUUUAUAGAUAUUUCUUAAUAAAUGUACUAUUAAAGUUAAAGAAAUAGUUCUUAAGUCAAACAUUAAAUUUGUAAUAUUUUUAUGAAUCUUUCAAUUUCUUAAUUUUUAUGCUUUAGGUAAGAAAACAAAAUUUUUGGUUUUAACAGAAAAUUGUAAUUUCACAGUUUUAGCGAUAAAACACGACUUUUAGCGAGUUCUUAUUACAUAAUAAUUAGAAAAAUGACUAGGAUAGCACUAAAUUUUUUUUUGUCAUAAAUAAAGCUUGUAAGAAUAAAAAUGACCAAAAUAGCACUUAAUGUUUUAUCAAAAGAGAUAAAUAUACCCUUAUACUCCAAUGGUAAAUUAAUUUAGACAUUAGGGUUUAGAGUUAAGGGGUGAGGUUUAGGAUUUAGGGUUUAGGGUUUAGAGUUUAGGGUUUAGGGUUUAGAGUUUAGGUUUUAGGGUUUAGUGUUGGGGAGUGGGGUUUUGGGAUAAGAUUUCAAAUUUUGAAAAAAAAAAAAAAAAUUCAAAACAUAAAAUGCUAUUUUUGUCAUAAACUUAGAAAAGUGCUAUUUUGGAGAUUUGCCCUAAUAAUUAUAAUAAUUAGUUAAAAUAUUUGUUUUAUUUUAUUAAGAAUAUUUAUGUUUUUAAAUUUUGAUAUGCAAAUGUAGCAUCCAUACUCUACAUUUUUUGCAUUUCAAAUAUCUAGAUAUUCAUAUAUCAUAGAUUUCGCAUAUAGAUGUUGUAUCCAGAUGUUGACGUAAUAGUGUCCAAACAAACAAUAUCUGAAUAUUAUCAUCCAAAUGUAACGUCUAGAAACAAAAACGAAUUGUGCCUAAUUCAAUUCAUAUCAAUAUACUAAACAUAUAAUUAUUGGAUAAUUGAAAUUAUUAUUAUUAUUCAAUAUAAAUUUAGUUCCAGCUUGUAUUCGUUGUUGUUCAACAAAUUCCACUUUUGUUAUUUGAAAUUCACUUGUAUCAAAAGUCAAAAAUAUAAAAAUCGAUUCACCAAAAUAAAAUGUUAAAUCUAUGCGGCCCAAUACGGAAUAAAAGAAUCGGCCCAUAGGCUGGCCCAUGAUUGUUCGCCUGGCCCACAACAAAACCUUGACAUCGAUAAAGUGAAGAAGGAGAACUUUCCGAGAAAUCAAAACUUAGAAUCGAGUCACGAAAAUGGAGGAGGAGAAGAAGAAGAGUGAUGAUGUCAACUCUAAAUGGGACGCGUGUCUCGAUCUCACCGCUCGUCGCGUAGUCUACUCCUCCCUCGGCGGCGCGUUCGCCGGUCUUCUGUUCUUCAGUUCGGUUUUUGUUUUCCCCACUUUCCGAUUCAGUUCAGAUCUAUCUAUGAUUCAUCAUCAUCAUCAUGAUAAAAUCAAUUCUCUUGUGUUGGCAUAGGGAGUCCCGUGACAAGAUGGGCGUCGAUUGCGUUUGGUGCUGGACUCGGUAUUGGAUCUGCGUACACCGAUUGUUCUCGUGCCUUUGAUGCAUCAUCGUCGUCUUCAACUUCCGCCGCUUUGGUAGCUCCCAUCAGUACAGAGACUUCGUCUUAUUCUGUAUCUCAGGUGAAUCGAAAGUUUCUAUUCGCCUUUUGCCUUGAUUUGUUGGAAUCUCAGUAACAUAUAGUUUAUUGGAUCAUGUAUUUCUUUGCAUUUAGGAUAAACAUUGGAAGUUAAAAAUGGUGAUGAUGUUAUCAUAGUAGUUUAAAAGAAUUAAUGAUUCAGGUAGCUGAUAAGAAUCCAUAAUCGAAACAAAUAGUCUUAAGAGUUUCAAGAGAUCCUUACUUCACCUUUGUCAUAGUUUCCAGGUUUUGGUUAGGUGUGAAAAGUUUGAAUCUUCUUUUUAUCAAGUAGUUGAGUGUGUUUUAUUUUGUGUUAUCUUGUUGAUUGAUUCCAGGCAGAGGAAGAGUAAGAGAACGAGGAAUCUUGAGGAUGAACCCAAACAUUGAUGAUGGGUAUUUACUACAAGAGUUGUUGUUAUAUACUGGUUUUUGAGAUAAUAUGCAAUUGUUAACCUUUUGCUUUUCAGUGGUUUUGUACACAUUGGCUGAUGCCAAAAGAUGUUUAACGACCAACUCAUUCCGACUUAUUUUUGGGAAAGAAAAAAAAAAUCAUACGUUUUUUUAGAAAUUCCAAUCAAUAAUACUUCCUGAUUGGUUUGCUCGACUCUACCAGGCUCCUUGUCCACAUAAUAAGAGUUAUUGAUAUGUUAAUAGCUUAAUAGCCAUCUUUAG